CACAUUUGACUGCUGUACUGUAUUUCGCAUUCGACUGGCGCGAGUCCACCCAUUCACGGCAGUACAAUGACCCGCUGUCUACGUGGGGCGCCGGCUAUUUCAUGGUACCGAGAAGCAGAAGCGACAUAUGCUACUAGUACUAUCCGGUUAUUGCAAGUGUCAACGAUUGUUUUAUCACCUGGGAUUCGAGUGCGUUCGUGCCAAGAGCUUCUUAGCAGGCGGCUUCGAAUGGGAAGGUAACACCUCCACUUAAAAGGGGGGCAACUGCGAUGUCACAACCCUCCCACAGCCAUAGAAUCCCCAGAGGGUCACAGUGAUGAGGGCAAUGUUUUCUCCGUCAACUGUCCAGACGGAAAGCAGAAAAGAUGCAGCAGCACCGUGACGCACCGCGGCAAUGGGAUGAAGGACUUUCACAAAUAGGUUUCUCCCGCAGAGACAAAUAAUUGGUAUGGUAUCUCGGGGGCACGAGGAUGAGGAACCGCCUGGAUUUUAACGUCAAUUAUGUCAAUCCUGGAAGAAGAGAAAUUACAUGCCAUGGGAAUAAUACACACACACACACACACACACUGAAACUUGGUUUGCUAAGAUGUGCUGUUGACACUGGGGGAAGCCUCCAUGUUUUCAUCAGACUGGUAACUUUGCCGUAGUGACGUGGAUUUAUUUUAUUUUAUUUUUUGAAAGAUGAAAGCCAUUGGCCGGCUUUUUACACCCCUUAGGAUAUGCACUCUUGGAUCAGAUACACUAUUACAGUAUUAGUCAUGGUGUUAUCCAAUCAUCCAAGCCACCCUUUGUUCCUGGAUUUUACUCCGCUAUUCAAAAAAAUUGUCCGAUUUAUGUACUUGAUGCUGCAUGCAUUCAUGCCUUUGAAACAUUUGACUGGCGUGGAUUCACUCAAGGGUACCAAAGAUAAGGAUUUAUAAAGGGAGUUCAACACAGUACAACUUGUGUAAACUGACGAUAGGUCAUGAGUUGCUUUGGUGUUGUGCUCAGCAACCAAUAUUUGGUCAAAGAGGAACUCAAGUAAGCGCUAAUUGAGAUGCGUGUAACGUAAACGUGUAUAAUUAGACAUAACUUGACAACAUCAUACAUUCAUCAUGUUGUGAUCACUAACUUUGUGGAAUAAAUAUGAAACCAUUU